AUUGCCUUCUCUGUUAAGCCCCCUAGAAUGUGCUAUUUUGUUAUGGAAGCCCUAGCAAAGCAAUACACUCCUUAAACCCUUUCCUGAUGCUGAGCCCCACUUUCAGGAAGAACUAACCUUCUUCCCUUGAUGCUCUCACCGGGUCACCUUAUUGAGCUGUUUCCCUGCUUGCUGUGCCCCCCGGUCCACUUGUUGCUGAGGGCCACACCUGGUUCAUGUCUGCAUUUCUGGCCUCUAGCACAGGGCACAUCCUGAACUUGGAAAAAGUGUCGUGUUUAAGAAGACUUUGCCUGACUCAAGGUCAUGAAGAUUUACUAUCUUUUCUUCAAAGAGUUUUUCAACUGUAGAUCUUAUCUGAAGGUCUGUGAUCCAUUUUGAGUUAAUUUUUGUAUUUGGUGAGGAAUGGAUUCAGCUUCAUUGUGUUUCAUGUGGACAUCCAGUUGGAAAAGAUACCACAUAUUUUGUGUCAAGAAAAAAAGCCCUCAGCUGGAUCCCUAGACAGUUGUUAGCAGAAACAAGGUUAGUGGAGGCUGAGGAUCAAAAAGCACAUCGCCACUGCAUUCUUCCUCCCUGGCUGGUUUCAGAUCUGCCUCUUCUUGUAGACUGAUGAGUUUGAUAGGCCACCACCCUCCUUCCAGUCUGGGUCACAACAGUUGAGCUGGGAAGUGGUUUUAGAGUUUGAUAUAGAGAAUAAAAGUUAAAAUCUAUAGUUGCUGAGAUGUAAAUGGACGUAACUUUUAUUGCAGAUAGUUUGGCACUUUGUAGUACCUUAAAAAGGUACAUAUCCUUUGACCUAGUAGUCUUAAAAUUGAGGAAUAUUUUCCUAGGGGUUUGAUCUGGUAUGUAGAUCCAUUUUUAAGUAAAACAUUAUCUAUUGAACAUUAUUUAUGUUAGUGAAAACUGACUACCAAAAAAGUUGAACACUGUGGGAUUGAUUAAAUAAAGUUCAGUAUAACU